CAGUCUGAAAACAUCUGGUGGAAAAAUCCGCCUCUGUCAUUUCAGACCUCUCAUGGAUGAAGAGACGAGGCCUGAAACGAGGCCAGGCAGGCAGGAAGAGGAGCGCCCUCGCGGCUUCACUGAAGCAUGUGCAUGCAAAAUGUAUGGUUUCACUCUCUCUCGCUCUCUCUCUCCCUCCCUUCAUCUGCGCCUCACUUCCCCGACUCUGCCUGCAUCCUCCCUGCUUCGUGACUGAGCUGGUGGGAGAAGACGGUUCAGCAUUACAGCCAGCUGAAGGUGCUAAUGGACAGAUCAAGGACGAAACGGGGAGAGAGAAUAGUGGAAGACACAGAACAAAGAGUGGAUCAUCACCAACCCUCAACUUGAGCCUGUACAGUCUAUGCAUGACUACACCAAGUGAGCUAGAUCUCAGGCACCAGACCACCGUAGGCAGCGGGAGGAGGAACAGAAGAAAGAAAAGAUACGGACAUGAAGACAGUGUGCUCCCUUCUGCAGGGUCAAGACUAACAGAUUGGCUGUUUGAGGAAAUAAAAAAAGACCAUUGAGGACAUGGCACAGGUCUUCCUCCCUUUUCUGGUCUUCUGAUUUAAGAUGCAUUUUUAAAGAAACAAACGGGCUCUUUUCUUUCUGUGGGAUUACCUUGGGAAGACAAGGGAUUCACUAUUAUGUCUGUAAUGUAUCAAGAGGCUCAGUGAAAGAGUUUCCAAUCCCACUUUAUACCAUCCAUCCAUUAUCGAUACCGUCUAUCCUUUAGGGGUCAC